rnacentral:lncRNA from 1 species
UCAAGACUACAAAUCGGCUGUUGCUAACAGGGACGCCUCUUCAGAACAACCUGCAUGAGCUCUGGUCACUUCUAAACUUUUUGUUACCAGAUGUGUUUAAUUCAGCUGAUGUAAGCUUCUCUUUUGUGGUUAAUAAUAUUUUGGUUAAUACCUAUAUUUUAAUAAUAGCACUGUUUGAUAUGGCCAUUAAUUUUUUAUACUUAUGUAGCUAGCCAGUUACUAACCUACUAAAUUGAUUAUGUAUUCUGAGAAUUUAUUCACUUUUGAGCCUUGGCUUUAAUGUCAUUCCCAUCAGUUUCUUCAUCUGGGUUGGAGUAUUUUUUCUGUUUGGCAAUCAAGGCUCUUUAAUUUUACUUCAGGGUUUCUAGGUUAAAGGCUCGUCUUUAAGCAUUUUCAAGUAUCUUUAUAUCUUACACAUUGUGUUUUAACAUUAAGAGAUGGCCUUCAAAUGUGGAGGGAUUUGUUUGACCCUUUUGUCUUAUUUUCUUUUCAUGUUGCUGUGACAAAAGCAGCUUAAGGAAGAAAGGGUUUAUUCUGGGCCAGUUCAAGCGAACAGGACAGCGGGUGUAACAGUAGCUGAUCAUGCUUCACUCACAGUCAGAAAGCAGACAGUGCGAUAAGUGUGUCUGUACUACUGCUCAGUUCUCUUUUUUUAUUCUGAGCAAGACAAUAUCCCCAACCCAGGAAAUGGUCACACAAUUUAAGAUGGGUCUUCUUAACAGCAAUUAAUGUAAUCAAGACAGUCCCCUACAGAUGUGUUGGGAGGGCCAGUUCUGGGCUAAUUCUAGAUUGUGAAGUUGACAAUGACCAAUGAGCAUCACACCCGUCUUUUAUUACCGUGUAAUAACCUAGUUUUUAUCAAUUCUUUACAUAAUAGAAAUGAUGGUAUAAGUAGUUAUCUUUAUGCUGUGUGACAGAAAAUAGUUUAUGUAAUUGAUAGUCUGUGCAGUUAGUAAAGACAGUGGCCAAACUGGAGUUCUGUUUUGAAUGUUUGCUCCUACAUCUGGAGUGGAUGGGAGAGCUUUGUAGAGACCCAUGUUAGUGCUUUUAUAUAAACAAAUUCUAUAAAGGUGUUAACUUGGCUUGUUACAUUAAGGGUUCUUUUCAUUUCAUUUCAUUUCUUUUUUCUUUUCUUUUCUUUUCUUUUUUGAAACAGUUUCUAUGUUUAUCCUUGGCUGUCUUGAUCAUUCUAUAGACAAGGUUGGCCCCAAACUCAGAGAUCUACUUGCCUCUGCCUUCUGAGUGCUGGGAUAAAAGGCAUGUACUACCACCAGCCAGCUAACGGUUAUUUUACAAAGAACAGAAAUGUGUAUGGAAAAAGUACAUUCAGAUUUGAAAGUUUUAAUUCUUUUAAAUAUUUUGAUGUUUUACAAAUAGUUUGAAGAUUAUUUGUUUUUCUUCCUAGUUAUUUAAUGAUUUCUGUUAAAGCCUUCAGUUAUAACAGUGACUAUAAGAUAUUUAUUUAAGUAGCAUAUUUAUAAUAGAUAUUUUCAGGAUACUUGAUAAGGAAAUUGUCUUUAUACAGCUCUUCUCUAAGUAGUAACAAAAUGCUUUUUGUUUCAAGUUUCACUUAGAUUAAUGAGAUGAACUUUUCUCUGGAAACCUUGUUGUGUCUUCUAAUUACUUCUGUAAACUAGCUUUCAGACUCUUUACUGUCAGUCUGUGUACUUACC